GACGAACGCUGGCGCGUGCUUAACACAUGCCAGUCGCACGGAAAGGCCCUGCUUUUGUGGGGUGCUCGAGUGGCGAACGGGUGAGUAACACGUGAGUAACCUGCCCUUGACUUUGGGAUAACUUCAGGAAACUGGGGCUAAUACCGGAUAGGAGCUCCUGCUGCAUGGUGGGGGUUGGAAAGUUUCGGCGGUUGGGGAUGGACUCGCGGCUUAUCAGCUUGUUGGUGGGGUAGUGGCUUACCAAGGCUUUGACGGGUAGCCGGCCUGAGAGGGUGACCGGCCACAUUGGGACUGAGAUACGGCCCAGACUCCUACGGGAGGCAGCAGUGGGGAAUAUUGCACAAUGGGCGGAAGCCUGAUGCAGCAACGCCGCGUGCGGGAUGACGGCCUUCGGGUUGUAAACCGCUUUCGCCUGUGACGAAGCGUGAGUGACGGUAAUGGGUAAAGAAGCACCGGCUAACUACGUG
rnacentral:rRNA from 1 species